UCCCCUGUGGCUCAGUUGGUAGAGCAUGGUGUUUGCAACGCCAGGGUUGUGGGUUCGAUUCCCGCGGGGGAC
rfam:Salmo salar isolate Sally breed double haploid chromosome ssa16, whole genome shotgun sequence.